AGUGAACGCUGGCGGUAGGCCUAACACAUGCAAGUCGAACGGCAGCACAGUAAGAGCUUGCUCUUACGGGUGGCGAGUGGCGGACGAGUGAGGAAUACAUCGGAAUCUACUUUUUCGUGGGGGAUAACGUAGGGAAACUUACGCUAAUACCGCAUACGACCUACGGGUGAAAGCAGGGGAUCUUCGGACCUUGCGCGAUUGAAUGAGCCGAUGUCGGAUUAGCUAGUUGGCGGGGUAAAGGCCCACCAAGGCGACGAUCCGUAGCUGGUCUGAGAGGAUGAUCAGCCACACUGGAACUGAGACACGGUCCAGACUCCUACGGGAGGCAGCAGUGGGGAAUAUUGGACAAUGGGCGCAAGCCUGAUCCAGCCAUACCGCGUGGGUGAAGAAGGCCUUCGGGUUGUAAAGCCCUUUUGUUGGGAAAGAAAAGCAGCAGGUUAAUACCCCGCUGUUCUGACGGGACCCAAAGAAUAAGCACCGGCUAACUUCGU
rnacentral:rRNA from 1 species